rnacentral:rRNA from 1 species
GAGCUACCGCCCGUACCGUAAACCGACACAGGUAUGCGGGGAGAGAAUCCUAAGGUGCGCGGGAGAACCCUCGUUAAGGAACUCGGCAAAAUGUACCCGUAACUUCGGGAUAAGGGUAGCCACUGUUGUGAAGUCCCACGCGGAUGGAGCAUAGAGUGGUCGCAGAGAAGAGGCCCAAGCGACUGUUUACCAUAAACACAGGUGCCUGCUAAAGCGAAAGCUGACGUAUAGGUGCUGACACCUGCCCAGUGCCGGAAGGUUAAGGAAGGAUGUUCGGAUUAGUCCAAAGCAUUCGACUGAAGCCCCGGUGAACGGCGGCCGUAACUAUAACGGUCCUAAGGUAGCGAAAUUCCUUGUCGGGUAAGUUCCGACCCGCACGAAAGGUGUAACGAUUUGGGCACUGUCUCAACGAGGGACCCGGUGAAAUUGAAAUACCUGUGAAGAUGCAGGUUACCCGCGACUGGACAGAAAGACCCCAUGGAGCUUUACUGUAACCUGACAUUGGGUUUUGAUACAUUACGUACAGGAUAGGUGGGAGGCUUGGAAAGUUGGACGCUAGUCUGACUGGAGCCGACGUUGGGAUACCACCCUUGAUGUAUUGAAAUUCUAACCGCGAGAGUAACGAAAUCCGGGACAGUGUCAGGCGGGCAGUUUGACUGGGGCGGUCGCCUCCGAAAGAGUAACGGAGGCGCCCAAAGGUUCCCUCAGCGCGGCCGGAAAUCGCGCGAAGAGUGUAAAGGCAGAAGGGAGCUUGACUGCGAGUCAAACACGACGAGCAGGUACGAAAGUAGGGCUUAGUGAUCCGGUGGUACCGAGUGGAAGGGCCAUCGCUCAACGGAUAAAAGCUACCCUGGGGAUAACAGGCUAAUCUCUCCCAAGAGUCCAUAUCGACGGGGAGGUUUGGCACCUCGAUGUCGGCUCAUCACAUCCUGGGGCUGAAGUCGGUCCCAAGGGUUGGGCUGUUCGCCCAUUAAAGUGGUACGUGAGCUGGGUUCAGAACGUCGUGAGACAGUUCGGUCCCUAUCCAUCGCGGGCGCAAGAGAUUUGAAGGGGGCUGCUCCUAGUACGAGAGGACCGGAGUGGACGAACCGCUGGUGUACCAAUUAUCCCGCCAGGGGUACAGUUGGGUAGCUACGUUCGGAAAGGAUAAACGCUGAAAGCAUCUAAGCGUGAAACCAGCCUUAAGAUGAGAUCUCUCAUAGAGCAAUCUAGUAAGACACCUUAAAGAAGAUGAGGUUGAUAGGUCGGGAGUGUAAGUACAGCAAUGUAUUGAGCGGACCGAUACUAAUAUGUCGAGGGCUUGACUUA